UACAGAGGGGGCAAGCGUUAUUCGGAAUUAUUGGGCGUAAAGGGCGCGUAGGCGGCUUUUCAAGUGACGGGUGAAAUCCCUCGGCUUAACCGAGGAACUGCCUGUCAGACUGGAAGGCUUGAGACCGGGAGAGGUGAGUGGAAUUCCCAGAGUAGCGGUGAAAUGCGUAGAUAUUGGGAGGAACACCAGUGGCGAAGGCGGCCCACUGGACCGGAACUGACGCUGAGGCGCGAAAGCGUGGGGAGCAAACAGG
rnacentral:rRNA from 1 species